rnacentral:tRNA from 1 species
GUUAGAGUGGCUUAUAUGGAGAGCAUGGCACUGAAGUUGCUAAGGAGAAGAAUUACCUUCCUCUGGCG